GAUGAAGAACGCAGCGAAAUGCGAUACGUAAUGUGAAUUGCAGAAUUCAGUGAAUCAUCGAAUCUUUGAACGCACAUUGCGCCCGGCAGUAAUCUGCCGGGCAUGCCUGUCCGAGCGUCAUUUCACCCCUCGAGCCGCUUUUAGUGGAUCGGUGUUGGGGCACUACGGUAAAACGUAGGCCCCGAAAUGAAGUGGCGGUCCCGCCGCGGUGCCCCCAUGCGUAGUAACGUUUAGUCUCGCAUCGGGUCCCGGCGGAGGCCUGCCGUCAAGCCUUUUAUUCUCAGAAUAGUUUGACCUCGGAUCAGGUAGGGUUACCCGCUGAACUUAAGCAUAUCAAUAAGCGGAGGA
rnacentral:misc_RNA from 1 species